UCGUACAAUGGAGAUGCCCAGGGCUGUCGCUGACUUUCACAGGUCGUGCACGCCCAAAGGUGCUCUCUUAUGUCCAUCUCACCCCUUUGUGCAUCACCGCGUGUGCCCCCCUAUUGGGCUCGUUCCGAAAAGGGGGCGUUUGCGUUUUUAUACAAACCACUGCAUGUGUAGAAUGUCUUACUAUUUGCGAUAAUGCGCAAUCAAUA
rnacentral:misc_RNA from 1 species